rnacentral:rRNA from 1 species
UACGUAGGUGGCAAGCGUUGUCCGGAUUUACUGGGCGUAAAGAGCGCGCAGGCGGUCGUCCAAGUCGCGUGUGAAAGCCCCCGGCUCAACUGGGGAGGGUCACGCGAUACUGGUCGACUCGAAGGCAGGAGAGGGUAGUGGAAUUCCCGGUGUAGUGGUGAAAUGCGUAGAUAUCGGGAGGAACACCAGUGGCGAAGGUGACUACCUGGCCUGUUCUUGACGCUGAGGCGCGAAAGCUAGGGGAGCAAACGGG